rnacentral:rRNA from 1 species
AUACGGGAGGCAGCAGUGGGGAAUUGUUCGCAAUGGGCGCAAGCCUGACGACGCAACGCCGCGUGGAGGAUGAAGAUCUUCGGGUCGUAAACUCCUGUCGACCGGGACGAAAUCUCCGCGAGCUAACAUCUCGCGGAAUUGACGGUACCGGUGGAGGAAGCCCCGGCUAACUCCGUGCCAGCAGCCGCGGUAAUAAUC